rnacentral:snRNA from 1 species
AGCUUUGCACAAUGGCAGUAUCGUGGCCAAUGAGAUUUAUCUGAGGUGCGAUUAUUGCUAAUUAUAUAUAUAUAUAUAUAUAUAUACACAUAUAUAUAAUUUUAUAUAAAAUUUAAAAAGC